GUAUUAUUCUUGGUCUGUGUUGC
rnacentral:siRNA from 1 species